AAAAACUUCCACUUGCAGUUGUCGUGAUAUCACUUAAACAAUGUUUGUAGAUAUUAAAAAACCUUUAACCUGAUCUCUCAAACAACAGGUUUCACUGUGAAGGAUGGAAGAUUUACACAUGAACAACACCUCACAGGAGGAAAGCUUUGAUUACAGCAACAUCACCUACGACUACGAUGGUCGUGGAAAGGACAUAUCAGUCAGAUAUAUAGUGCCAUGCAUCAUUUCUAUCGGACUUCCUUUGACCCUCGUGGCCAUCUGUGCUUUUUAUUCUCUGGUGAGAAAUGGUCAAGUUGCUCCGAUCUACGUCAUCAACCUUCUCAUCACCGACCUCAUUCAGCUCUGCUGCAUGAUUGCUGAGGUGACACCACCAGAACAUCGGAAGGUAUCUAUAAGGGUCUUCAGUGAUCUUUAUUUCACUGGUGUGUUGGCCAGUGUCGGCUUCAUGGUGUGUGUCUCCCUGGAAAGGUAACUAUCUGUCUAUCCAGUAUGUGUGUAGCUUCUGUGUCUGAUCAUUAUAUUACUUUAUAAUUCUGAAGCUCCUCAAAGACUAUGUGUC